AACGAACGCUGGCAGCAGGCCUAACACAUGCAAGUCGAACGUCCGUAGCAAUACGGAGUAGGCAGACGGGUGAGUAACGCGUGGGAACAUACCCUUCGGUUCGGAACAACUCAGGGGAAACUUGAGCUAAUAACCGGAUACGUGCGAGAGCAGAAAGAUUCAUCGCCGAAGGAUUGGCCCGACGUUACGAUUAGGCUAGUUGGUGAGGUAACGGCUCACCAAGGCGACGAUCGAUAGCUGGUCUGAGAGGAUGAUCAGCCACA
rnacentral:rRNA from 1 species